rnacentral:lncRNA from 1 species
CGGCAAUUUAUUAGCCAAGUCUGACUGCAACACCCGCAGGCACAUUUUAUUUACACUGAAACCAUCCGAGUUAGAAGUGGUAGAGAGCCAGUUGGGAAACUCAAGAUGUAUAAGAACCCCUACAAAAGAAAAAAGUACUUUGCAGUAAAGCACAGAUAAAGACCAAGAAGAGGAGAAAGCCAAGAGCUGAACCUUGGUGACCAUG